AUUGAACGCUGGCGGCAGGCCUAACACAUGCAAGUCGAACGAGUGGCGGACGGGUGAGUAAUGUCUGGGAAACUGCCUGAUGGAGGGGGAUAACUACUGGAAACGGUAGCUAAUACCGCAUACCAUCAGAUGUGCCCAGAUGGGAUUAGCUUGUUGGUGGGGUCACGGCUCACCAAGGCGACGAUACCUAGCUGGUCUGAGAGGAUGACCGGCAACACUGGAACGGAGACACGGUCCAGAAGCCUAGGGGAGGCAGCAGUGGGGAAUAUUGCACAAUGGGGGCAAGCCUGAUGCAGCCAUGCCGCGUGUAUGAAGAAGGCCUUCGGGUUGUAAAGUACUUUCAGCGGGGAGGCGUUACCCGCAGAAGAAUCACAGGCUAACUCCGUGCCAGCAGCCGCGGUAAUUC
rnacentral:rRNA from 1 species